UGACGCAUUUUAUCACCAGUUUCAUGUUUAGAACAGAAGAUGAAGAAAUGUUACCAUGUUUUGAUGUCUUGAAGGUGUUGGUUCAGUGAUUAACUAUCUCACUUGAUGUUGUGGGACGAGCAGAUGAACCAAACCAUCGAUUUUUUACUCUUUUAUAUCCCUGUAUUAACUCUUGUAGUUUUCGUCUAACUUAUUCGAUCGUUAAACAUUGAGUUUAACUUCUACAUUUAUUGUGCAACCGGGCCAUAUGUUUCUAUGCUUUCACAAGAGAUAUUUUUUGGAUAGUUAUAACUUACAAGCACUUAGUUUCUGGCCCGGGGUUUGCCCACCAUACCCUGUUCAGUUGAUUCUCCUCUCCUUCUAGAUUGUUUAAGGACCAAUUUCUAUGUUUCUGGCUUAUAGUAUCUUCGUUUAGCAUAAACAUAUACUUGAAAAUAUAUUAUUUUAUAUGCAUUAUUUUGUAUUUAUUGUGUAUAUAUAUAGCCGCAGCUCGUGUCACCAUUUUCUGUGAAAUGGUGAAUCUGCAUUUCUGUCUCUGCAUAACAUGUAUCAGGUCACCAAAUUGCUUUAGGGACACUGUUGGAAGCAUCUCGGAUUUGGUCUAUGGCUAGCAUCUAGCAUGGACGUUUUAAUGCAGUGCGUUUGCAAGCCAGGGCUACAUCUAUGUUACUAUGUUAGGCCAGUUACAUUGUAGCGUGAAUUAAGUCAGCAUGUGAUAUUUUUUCUCUCGAAUGGAUUUCUAUUUCGAAUGGUCAGCAUAUGAUGUUAUAAGCACUUUUCUUGUUCAUUCUCAUCACGCCAUUUUAUUCACAACCUGCAGGAGUUUCUUGUGUGUCUAAGGGAAUGUCUGCCUCAGAAAACCAGGCUGCUGAAAUCAACAACGAAACUGAUGACAGGAAGGGAGACCGUCCAUGGAACAUCAUACGUAUACGUUUACCACCGAGGAAGAAGUUGCCUGACGCCUCCCUCACCCUGAGCAAGAAAGUACCUAGGAUUAACAAAACCGGAAGUAAGGAAGUACCUGAAAUGAGUACCGACAGCCCAGGAAAGAAUCUGAUAACUACUCCAGUACUGGGUGAGGCAAGCAGCCAUUCCCCAAGAAUGGGACUGUGUAAUGAGGGCAGUAGCAACACCCUGAGCAAGACACUGUCUGCUAAACCUGAGAGUGAUACCUCAGGCAACAAACAACCAGAUGAGGCAACUUACAGCACCCUGAGCAAGAACCUAAAAGUCGAUGAUAAAGAGCAAGGAAGUGAUGCAAACUGUUAUGCGGCUAAACAGGGACCGUAUGAAGAGGCCAACAACAAUAUCUUAAGCACGAUACUUCCUCUACCAGGCAAGAAUCUGAUAACUUCUCCAGUACAGGGUGAGGCAAGCAGCCACUCCCCAAGAAUGGGACUGUGUAAUGAGGGCAGUAGGAACACCCUGAGCAAGACACUGUCUGCUGAAUCUGAGAGCGAUACCUCAGGCCAUAAACACCCGGAUGAGGCAACUUACAGCACCCUGAGCAAGAACCUAAGAGUUGAUGAUGAAGAGCAAGCAAGCGAUGCAAACUGUUAUGCUGUUGAACAUGGACCAUGUGAAGAGGCCAACAACAAUAUCUUGAGCAUGAUACUUCCUCUACCACUUCAGGAAUUACCUGAAAAUCAUAUAGACAACAGCCCAAGCAAGAACGAUAUAACCCCCGGAAUGCAGAAUGAUGAGGAACAUAACAACUCCCCAAGAAGGAAACUGCAAUAUGAUACUGACAACAAAGAAGAUGAAGAGGGUAACAACAGAAGCUGGAACCUCACAAUCACCGCUGGGAAGUAUGAGGAUGUUGUUGAAGAAGCUCACCACCACAUUCCCACCAAGAAGGUUGAAAACAAUUCCCCAAGCAAUUCACCAACUGAUCCAGCCAAACAAAUUUCCCCACACAAGAGGCUGCCUACCUCUUCAGUACAGGCUACUGGUACCAGCCGGAACACCCCGGGAAUGAAGCUUUCUGCUUCCGUUUGCCAGGCUGUGGAGCAAAAUACCAAUGCUGCGAACACGGAGGUCACAAAGGAGUUUCAAGAGUUUGAGGAGAAGAUCAAGCGAACUGUAUUUCUUGUCAAUCUUGACAACCUCUCUCACCAAGCUACAGAGGUUAAGAGCAACCCAAGCAGGACCCUAUCAACCACUGCUAUGGAGUGUGAGAUGUUUGAAAAUGCUAACCACACCAUUCCUAGCAAGAAGCUUUCUGAUGUGGCAAGAAACAAGGCCCCAAGCAAUAGAUCAACUGAUCCAGCUAAGAAAAGAACCCCACGCAAGAAGCCACGCACCUCUGCAUUACAGACUACUGAUACCAGCCAGAAUGCAUUUGGAAUGAAGCUUCCCAUUUCUGAUGGCCAGGCUGUUAAUCAAAGUAAGAGUGCUGCAGAUUUGGAUUCCAUAAAACAGUAUCCUGAGGACAACAAAUUGAUUACUGACAACCAAGGCAAGAAUCUGAUGACCACUCCAGCACAUGGUGAGGCAAGCAGCCACUCCCCAAGAGUGGGACACUGUAAUGGGGCCAAUAGCAACACCUUUAGCAAGACACGGUCCGCUGAGUCUGAGAGCGAUACCUCAGGCAACAAACUACCGGAUGAGGCAAAUGACAAUAUCCUGAGCAUGAACCUAAGAGUCACUGCUGAAGAGCAAGGAAGUGAUCCAAGCAGUUACGCUGCUCAACAUGGACUGUGUGAAGAGGUGAACAACAUCUCGAGCAUGAUGCUUCAUCUUCAACUUCAGGAAUUGCCUAAAGAUCAUAUUGACAACAGCCCAAGCAAGAGCCUUACAACAACUAGAAAGCAGGGUGAGGAGGAACAUAGCAACUCCCCAAGAAAGAAACUGCUCUACAAUACUGACAAUAAAGUAGCAGAUGAAGAGGGUAACAACCCAAGCUGGAAUCAAACGAUCACCGCUGUGAAGUCUAAGGAGGUGUUUGAAGAAGCUAAUCAUCCCAUUCCCAGCAAGAUGCUGUCUGGUGAGGCUAAAAACAAUGGCCCAAGCAAUAGACCAACUUAUCGAGCUAACAAAAAUGCCCCACACAAGAGUUUGUGUACCUCUUCAGUACAAGCUACUGGUACCAGCGGGAAGACCCCUGGAAUGAAGCUUUCUGCUUAUGUUGACCAGGCUGUGGAGCAAAGUACCAGUGCUGCAAACAUGGAGGUCAUAAAGGAGCAUCAAGAGUUGGAGGAGAAGAUGAAGGAAACUGUAUAUCUUGACAACCUCUCUCACAAGGCUACAGAGGUUAAGAGCAACCCAAGCAGGACCCUGUCAACCACUGCUAUAAAAUCUGAUGUGUUGGAAAAUGCUAACCACACCAUUCCCACCAAGAAGCUGUCUGAUGUGGCUAGAAACAAGGCCCCAAGCAAAAGAUCAACUGACCCAGCUAAGAAAAUCACCCCACGCAAGAAGCCGCGCAGCUCUGCAGUGCAGGCUACCGGCACCAGCCAGAAUACAUCUGUAAUGAAGCUUUCUACUUCUGAUGGCCAGGCUGCUAAUCAAAGUAAGAGUACUGCAGAGUUGGAAGCCAUAAAACAGUAUCAGGAGUUCGAGGAGAAGGUCAAACGAACUGUAUACCUUGACAACUUGUCUCACCAGGCUACAGAGGCAGUCAUAAAAACAGCUUUGAGUCAAUUUUGUAGUAUCAGAAAGGUUAGUUUUGUUGUGAACUACACCAUUCCCUACAAUAUUCCUCAAUCUGCAUUAGUAGAGAUGGAAACUGAGAAGGAUGCUGAAGUUGUGGUCAGUAUGCUGCAUGACUUCCCUUUUAUGAUCUCUGGAAUUCCAAGGCCUGUUAGGGCGAAGCAUGCUACAGCUGAGAUGUUCAAUGAUCGCCCCCGGAGACCUGGGAGUAAGUUAAAAUUUCGCUGGGUGGGCCACAGAGAUCCUGAUUAUGAGAUUCUAAAAAAAUCGAAGAUACUCUCCAGGAGACAUGAGGUGGAGAACUUUGCACUAAUUGAGCAUGAACUAGAUGAGGAGAAAUCGCUAGCAGAGCAGCAGCAGGAGAAUCUGAACUGCAAUCGCAAGAUGUUGGAGACCAUGGACAGCGUCAUUCUGUCUGGCAUGACAAACUACAUAUCUAAAAUUUAUAGCGUCAAUUGGAACGAUGUGUUCUGAAAAUGGCUGAAUAUUAACGGUGCUCUUUAAGCACAGCGUUGGUACUAAUCUCAUGGCAUCGAUGUCGCAUACUUGAACAUGGAGGACCUAGGGUCUGUGGAACUUGACCUCAGGAAGUAGUCAAUUUAUUGACAUUGUAAAGUUUAUGUUCAUGCUCAACGUCAUUUGGAGUAUUAUAAUCCUUAUGAUCAUGUUACAGCGACAAAUCUCCAUUUUAAGGGCUUCUUAGGAGAUUUUCAAAAGGUAUUUUAGAUAGGGUUGCAAGCCGCAGCCCACUUCCAGUUUUUGAGUGUCGAUGUCCAAGACAUAUGAGGAGUUUAGUGCUUCAAGUUCAUUGCCACAAAAGGAAAAAGUUCAUUUUGUAUUA